CUAGUACUUUCUCCAUCCGGAAUUACUUGUCAUCAAAAUGAAUAAAAAUGAAUGUAUCUAGAACUAAAAUACAUGUAGAUACAUCUAUUUCAAUGACAAGUAUUUCCGGACAGAGGGAAUACAAG
rfam:Triticum aestivum genome assembly, contig: Triticum_aestivum_CS42_TGACv1_scaffold_320913_4BL